rnacentral:rRNA from 1 species
UUUUAUGGAGAGUUUGAUCCUGGCUCAGGAUGAACGCUGGCGGCGUGCCUAAUACAUGCAAGUCGAGCGAACGGACGAGAAGCUUGCUUCUCUGAUGUUAGCGGCGGACGGGUGAGUAACACGUGGAUAACCUACCUAUAAGACUGGGAUAACUUCGGGAAACCGGAGCUAAUACCGGAUAAUAUUUUGAACCGCAUGGUUCAAAAGUGAAAGACGGUCUUGCUGUCACUUAUAGAUGGAUCCGCGCUGCAUUAGCUAGUUGGUAAGGUAACGGCUUACCAAGGCAACGAUGCAUAGCCGACCUGAGAGGGUGAUCGGCCACACUGGAACUGAGACACGGUCCAGACUCCUACGGGAGGCAGCAGUAGGGAAUCUUCCGCAAUGGGCGAAAGCCUGACGGAGCAACGCCGCGUGAGUGAUGAAGGUCUUCGGAUCGUAAAACUCUGUUAUUAGGGAAGAACAUAUGUGUAAGUAACUGUGCACAUCUUGACGGUACCUAAUCAGAAAGCCACGGCUAACUACGUGCCAGCAGCCGCGGUAAUACGUAGGUGGCAAGCGUUAUCCGGAAUUAUUGGGCGUAAAGCGCGCGUAGGCGGUUUUUUAAGUCUGAUGUGAAAGCCCACGGCUCAACCGUGGAGGGUCAUUGGAAACUGGAAAACUUGAGUGCAGAAGAGGAAAGUGGAAUUCCAUGUGUAGCGGUGAAAUGCGCAGAGAUAUGGAGGAACACCAGUGGCGAAGGCGACUUUCUGGUCUGUAACUGACGCUGAUGUGCGAAAGCGUGGGGAUCAAACAGGAUUAGAUACCCUGGUAGUCCACGCCGUAAACGAUGAGUGCUAAGUGUUAGGGGG